UAGGGAAUCUUCGGCAAUGGGGGCAACCCUGACCGAGCAACGCCGCGUGAGUGAAGAAGGUUUUCGGAUCGUAAAGCUCUGUUGUAAGAGAAGAACGUGUGUGAGAGUGGAAAGUUCACACAGUGACGGUAACUUACCAGAAAGGGACGGCUAACUACGUGCCAGCAGCCGCGGUAAUACGUAGGUCCCGAGCGGUGUCCGGAUUUAUUGGGCGUAAAGCGAGCGCAGGCGGUUUAAUAAGUCUGAAGUUAAAGGCAGUGGCUUAACCAUUGUGGGCUUUGGAAAAUGUUAAACUUGAGUGCAGAAGGGGAGAGUGGAAAUCCAUGUGUAGGGGGGAAAUGCGUAGGUAUAUGGAGGAAAAACGGUGGCGAAAGCGGCUCUCUGGUCUGUAAAUGACGCUGAGGCUGGAAAGCGUGGGGAGCAAACAGG
rnacentral:rRNA from 1 species